UACAGAGGUCUCAAGCGUUGUUCGGAUUCAUUGGGCGUAAAGGGUGCGUAGGCGGCGCGGUAAGUCGGGUGUGAAAUCUCGGAGCUUAACUCCGAAACUGCAUUCGAUACUACCGUGCUUGAGGACUGGAGAGGAGACUGGAAUUUACGGUGUAGCAGUGAAAUGCGUAGAGAUCGUAAGGAAGACCAGUGGCGAAGGCGGGUCUCUGGACAGUUCCUGACACUGAGGCACGAAGGCCAGGGGAGCAAACGGGG
rnacentral:rRNA from 1 species